rnacentral:rRNA from 1 species
UGAGGAAUAUUGGUCAAUGGAGGAAACUCUGACGCAGUGACGCCGCGUGCAGGAAGAAGGUUUUCGGAUUGUAAACUGCUUUAGACAGGGAAGAAAAAAUGACAGUACCUGUAGAAUAAGCUCCGGCUAACUACGUGCCAGCAGCCGCGGUAAUACGUAGGGAGCAAGCGUUAUCCGGAUUUAUUGGGUGUAAAGGGUGCGUAGACGGGAAAACAAGUUAGUUGUGAAAUCCCUCGGCUUAACUGAGGAACUGCAACUAAAACUAUUUUUUACUUGAGUGCUGGAGAGGAAAGUGGAAUUCCUAGUGUAGCGGUGAAAUGCGUAGAUAUUAGGAGGAACACCAGUGGCGAAGGCGACUUUCUGGACAGUAACUGACGUUGAGGCACGAAAGUGUGGGGAGCAAACAGGAUUAGAUACCC